GGGGGGGGGGAUAAUGAUGUAAUAUCUACAUAGAGGGGGGAUAUGAUGUUCUAUCUACAUAGAGGGGUGUUAAGGAUGUUAAUUACAUGGAGGAGGGGAGGGGGGAUAAGAAUGUUCUAUUUACAUAGUGGAGGGGAGAUAAUUAUGUUCUAUAUUCAUAGUGGAUGGGUGUUAAGAAUGUUCUAUCUACAUAGAGGGGGGAUAGGAUGUUCUAUCUACAUAGAGGGGGUAUAAGGAUGUUCUAUCUACUAGGGAGGGGAGUAUGGAUGUUCUAUCUACAUAGUGGAGGGGUGUUAGGAUGUUCCUACCUAGAGGAGGGUGGAUAAGAUGAUAAUCUACAUGCGGAGGGAUAAAGUUGUUAUAUCUGCAUAGAGAAAUGGGGAGGGAUUAAGUUGUUAUAUCUGCAUAGAGGGGGAGGGAUAUUGGUAAAUGGGGGGGGGGAUAUUGGUCUGCAGUGUUUGUCCUGCAGCUAUGCAUCUAAAGCUCUGUGUUGGUCUAUGGUUCUACAGUGUCUUACUGGUCUAGUGUGUUCAUGUCAGUACAGACUUGGUUAGAGAACGGAGAGGUUCUGUAACUGAGUGUUUCGGUUAGAGAACAGAGGGGUCUGGAAUGAGUGUUGGGGUUAGAAAACGGAGAGGGUCUGUAACCGAGUGUUGGGGUUAGAAACGGAGAGGGUCUGUAACAGGUUGUUGGGGUUAGAGAACGGAGAGUGUCUGUAAUGAGUGUUGGGGUAUGGAGGGUUGUGUGAUAUCUGACUGAGCUGCUGUAUGUCUCUGUCUGUCUCAGGUGGUGAUGAUGCUUGUUGCCAUUAAGUGCCUUAAUGACUAUUCCGCCUCCUGUGGAUGUUUCCAGUGUUCUGUCUCCUCACUACACGUCCUGACAAAUUAGCAUUGUCACAGAAUGACAGCCCAAACAGCAAACCAUCAUUCUGGUACCUAACUUUGCAUCUCCACUGUUCUUCAAGUAAAUAGUAUUUUUGUGAAAUGUUCAGUGGAAAGUGUUCAAAGUAGUCCUUGUGCAAACGUUGUAUGGUUUGUUCAAUUUUGAAUGAUUGAUUUAAAGUGAAAAAUCUGAUGUCUGUGUCAUUCUGUUACUGUGGAAUAUACCAUAAACAUCUGGUCUAUAGACUGGCUGUCAUCUGGCCCUGCAGCGUUUAGCCACCUUUAACCCCUAGGUCUGGCCUGGCAGCAUUUAGCCCACCUUAACCCCUAGGGCUUGCUGUCGUCUGGCCUGGCAGCGUUUAGUCAACUUUAACCCCUAGGACUGGCUGUUGUCUGGCAGCGUUUAGCCCCCUUUAACCCCAGGACUGGCUGUCAUCUGGCCUGGCAGCGUUUAGUCAACUUUAACCCCUAGGUCUGGCUGUCGUCUGGCCUGGCAGCGUUUAGCCAACUUUAAUCCCUGGACUGGCUGUUGUCUGGCAGCGUUUAGCCACCUUUAACCGCUAGGGCUGACUGUCGUCUGGCUGACAGUGUUUAGUCACCUUUAACGUAGGGCUGAAUGUCGUCUGGCCUGACAGUGUUUAGCCACCUUUAACCCCUAGGACUGGCUGUCAUCUGGUCCUGUAGCUUUAGCACCUUUACACCCUAGGGCUGACUGUCGUCUGGCUGACAGUGUUUAGUCACCUUUAACCCUAGGGCUUGCUGUCCUCUGGCCCUGCAGCUUUUAGUCACCUUUAUCCCCUAGGGGUGCUGUCCUCUUCCCUGCAGCGUUUAGCACACUUUAACCCCUGGACUGGCUGUCAUCUGGCAGCGUUGUACCCUUUAACCCCUAGGACUGGCUGUAUCUGGCAGCGUUUAGUCACCUUUAACCCCUAGGGCUUGCUGUCGUCUGGCC
rnacentral:lncRNA from 1 species